rnacentral:rRNA from 1 species
UACGGAGGGGGCUAGCGUUGUUCGGAAUUACUGGGCGUAAAGCGCGCGUAGGCGGCUUUGUAAGUUAGAGGUGAAAGCCCGGGGCUCAACUCCGGAAUUGCCUUUAAGACUGCAUCGCUAGAAUUGUGGAGAGGUAAGUGGAAUUCCGAGUGUAGAGGUGAAAUUCGUAGAUAUUCGGAAGAACACCAGUGGCGAAGGCGGCUCGCUGGGCCGGACCUGACGCUGAGACGCGAAGGCGUGGGGAGCGAACGGGG